rnacentral:rRNA from 1 species
AUACGUAGGGUGCAAGCGUUAAUCGGAAUUACUGGGCGUAAAGCGUGCGCAGGCGGUUUUGUAAGACAGUGGUGAAAUCCCCGGGCUCAACCUGGGAACUGCCAUUUUGACUGCAAGGCUGGCGUGCGGCAGAGGGGGAUGGAAUUCCGCGUGUAGCAGUGAAAUGCGUAGAUAAGCGGAGGAACAACGAUGGCGAAGGCAAUCCCCUGGGCCUUCACUGACGCUCAUGCACGAAGGCGUGGGGAGCAAACAGGAUUGGAUACCCUGGUAGUCCACGCCCUAAACGAUGUCAACUGGUUGUUGGGUCUUCAUUGACUCAGUAACGAAGCUAACGCGUGAAGUUGACCGCCUGGGGAGUACGGCCGCAAGGUUGAAACUCAAAGGAAUUGACGGGG